rnacentral:lncRNA from 1 species
GUUAUGUUUAUUAGUUAUUCCUUGGGAAAGAUUCUCAGAUAUGGAAUACCUGUAUCAGAGGCUUCUUACAUCAAAUGUUUUUCAAAGUGUUUAUAGCAAGGUUAGGGGGAGAGAUAGAUGGAGAGACAGAGAGAGAGAGAGAAGAAAGGGCUGUGGGCAAAAUAUACCUUUCCAGGGCACACCCUCCCUCCAUGACCUACUUCCUCCAACUGGGAGGGCCCCACCUCCUACAGUUUCCACCACCUCCCAAGAGUGCAAUCCAAUUAUGAAUCUGUUCAUGGAUUAGUCCACUGACAAGGUUAGAAUGCUCACCUGCCUGAAGUCCCCACCUGCGAACACUGUUACACUGGGGACCACACCUUCAACACAUGAGCCUCUCAUUACAGAUCCAAACCAGAACCCAUUUCAACACAUAACCUAUGUUAAAAUUACUAUUAAUUUUCCUCACACAAAGUCUUUGAAGCCUGGUGAUCAUAUCACACUUGCAGCACAUCUUGAUCUGCUUCAGUUCAAGGGCUCAGUGGCUGUGUGGGGCUCCAGGCUACCCUGGGGAAUAGGGCAGAUUUAGACAGUGGUGGCUUUCAGCUGAUUGACUCUUUUCUACACUCCAUGCUGAACAACCUUUUAAAAGUGUCCUUUCUCAGGGUCCAACAUAGUUGAUUAGCUUUUGAUAUAGUGUGGUUACAAUCAUUUUGAACAUAACUCUUCUUGACAGAACUUGGAGGUUUCCCAGUCUCUGUAGCCACAGUUGACAAUGUCUUGAUCACCGCAGAGGACAACUAAUCACUCUGUCAGUCUUUGUCUCUCUGACUCUUUCUGCCUUUGCUUUUUCCCUCCCACUCAUUUUUUUUUUUAAGAAUAAAAAUUGAUUAAUUUUUUUCUGGUUAAAAAUACACCCCCCCACACACACACAUAUUUUAAAGAAUCAGGCACUCAAAUGGAAAAAAUACAAAUCAACUGAAGCUUAUUCCAUGAAGAUAACCAUCAGUAGUGUUCAUGUAGCUCUUCCUUUGGUGUCCAAAACAUACGUUUAUGAAAAAAAGAUUGAUGUAAUAUGUGCUAUUGUCGAGGGGCCCUGAACAGGGGUUGAGCACGCCCCCUUAGCCUUGAGUAAUGGGGGUGUGGAACUGGAAUCAAAUGCAGUGUGAAGCAAGUGGGCCUUCCCUUCCCUCAGCAAGGAAGUGCGGCUCUGGGAUUGGGCGUCACCCAGUGGGACUGGGCUGUACCCCCCUGUGUGUUGUAACACUAUCCCUUGACUUAUUUGGGUGGAAUAGUCUAUCAAAUGUCUUUCCCCUAAUAAAAACAGGGGUUUGGGGUGUAGUCACUCUCUUGCCUCUUGGCUGCCUUGCUCCUUUUGCCCUCCAGCACAGGAGCUGACCCCUGAAGUCGCAUCCCUGACCCCUGAAAAAGGUAUUUUGUGUUUGUGUGGUCUUUUCAUUGCCAGCCCAAUUCCCGUGGAGUGACCCUGAAUCCGUGGCUGUGCGGGACGUGGGUGAUAUGCUAUUUUACUUAGCCUGCUAAAAUUAUGUAUUAUGGAUAUAUACUUAUUAAAACUAUGGAUUGAGGGAGGAGAGGAGGUUAAGGGGAGGUGCUAGUGAAUGAAAUUGAUCAAAAUAUAUGCAUG